GUGUUUGCGUUUGUCCUGAUAAGAAAAAAUGCAGCCCACUUGGGCGGACCCCAAGUUUAUCUUUUGGCAUGUAGUUCGCCAGACAUGAACCCUAACGCACAGUAAUCAUGCCGUGUUCUGCCUUCACAACUCAUGUACUUUGCUGUCUUUGUCUUUGGGGAUGUGUGGCAGAGAGUAUUCAUACAUUACCUCAUGUGGAGCGGUUUGAUGUGGUGAGACCUAAAAGACAGAGCGUCAGAAAGGUACAGUCUGAUAAAAGUCCACAAAGCCAUGAGACUUAUCCUGAUAGACUCACAUAUAAAUUAUUCUUUGGAGGGAAAACUCAUGUGAUUCAUUUGGAAAAGAACAGGUGAGUGUUGUGUUUGGGUGUAUUAUAUUUCAAAGUCUUAUCUUGGAGCUUUCUGUA
rnacentral:lncRNA from 1 species